rnacentral:rRNA from 1 species
ACCCAGACUCCUACGGGAGGCAGCAGUGGGGAAUAUUGGGCAAUGGGCGCAAGCCUGACCCAGCAACGCCGCGUGAAGGAAGAAGGCUUUCGGGUUGUAAACUUCUUUUAAGAGGGAAGAGUAGAAGACGGUACCUCUUGAAUAAGCCACGGCUAACUACGUGCCAGCAGCCGCGGUAAUACGUAGGGAGCGAGCGUUGUCCGGAAUUACUGGGCGUAAAGGGCGCGUAGGCGGGAACGUAAGUUAGAUGUGAAAACUCCGGGCUUAACCUGGAGACUGCAUUUAAAACUGGGUUUCUUGAGGGCAGGAGAGGAAAGUGGAAUUCCUAGUGUAGCGGUGAAAUGCGUAGAUAUACGGAGGAACACCAGUGGCGAAGGCGGAUUGCUGGACAGUAACUGACGCUGAGGCGCGAAAGCGUGGGGAGCAAACAGGAUUAGAUACCCCUGUACA